rnacentral:rRNA from 1 species
UACGUAGGGUGCAAGCGUUAAUCGGAAUUACUGGGCGUAAAGGGCGCGUAGGCGGCCUUGUCAGUCAGGCGUGAAAGCCCCGGGCUCAACCUGGGAACGGCGCUUGGGACGGCGAGGCUGGAGUUCGGGAGAGGAGAGUGGAAUUCCCAGUGUAGAGGUGAAAUUCGUAGAUAUUGGGAAGAACACCGGUGGCGAAGGCGGCUCUCUGGACCGACACUGACGCUGAGGCGCGAAAGCGUGGGGAGCAAACAGG